GGGGCAAAAACCGCCCAGCCUCGCGGGACUAGGCCUGGGCAGCCUUCUGGCGGCGCACGGCGCAUCGGGGUUUACAGCAGUAUAACUUGCUUCCCAGUAGCGCAUCACAGGAGAGACCCUUCCUUUAGGAAACCAAGCCUCGCCAAGGGUCGUCAUCUCUAUGGCCUCCUCCCUUCCCGGUGACUUGGUCGGAGCUGACAGAGACGGGAGGGGGGUUGCAAAGCGGGCGUGCGAAAGGGCCGCGACUGCCCCCAGCGGUGUGGGGUGGAACUACACUUAGGGCCCCAGACUGUGAGCCUGAGGAUCCGUGUGCGCAGUGUUUCUCACAUUGAUGCUUUCAACAUGGGAAGAAAAGUUACUGAAAGCCCUGCACAUGGAGCACUCGGGAGCAUUGUCACCAGGAUGACCCAAGAAUCUUCAGUUUUCAGAAGUCAAAGAAUGGACAUGUUGCCACCAGAGCCCUUUACCAAGUGAGAAGUCCUUCAAUGAAGAGAACCUGGCUUCCAGCAGCUGGAGCAGCUUAUAUUGAGUGAUUCAAGACUAGCCAGUCAGCUUUCGAGGUUAAAAUUCCCCUAACUCCUUAAAUUUCACCCAGAACCCUGGCUGCAGGAGACAGGUUUGCAAGUCUUGCUGCCUGUCUUUUUGUCAGUCGACCUCACAAUCUACUCUUUCUUUUCUCAAAAGCUAAUGCUCUGUUUCUCAUCUUCUUUGCCUUUUGAGUAGCCUAGUUUCUUACUCAGUAAUAAUUAUUGCAAAACAGGGAAGGGAAAGGAGAGGGAAAAAGAAGGAGGGGGAAGGGAGGGGGCCUGGGGCCUGAAAUUUUCCAAGCUGUCUCUCUGUGGCUCUGUUGUGUGAGAGAAACCUUAGUCUAAAGAACACUCAUUGCCACCUCCCAAAGGAAAAGGGGGUCAGAAUGCUGUCUGC
rnacentral:lncRNA from 1 species